AAGGAUGCGCUCUACCAUGCAGUCGACGGUGAACACGGAGCUUGCUCUGUGGGAUCAGUGGCGAACGGGUGAGUAACACGUGAGCAACCUGCCCCUGACUCUGGGAUAAGCGCUGGAAACGGCGUCUAAUACUGGAUAUGUGACGUGACCGCAUGGUCUGCGUUUGGAAAGAAUUUCGGUUGGGGAUGGGCUCGCGGCCUAUCAGCUUGUUGGUGAGGUAAUGGCUCACCAAGGCGUCGACGGGUAGCCGGCCUGAGAGGGUGACCGGCCACACUGGGACUGAGACACGGCCCAGACUCCUACGGGAGGCAGCAGUGGGGAAUAUUGCACAAUGGGCGCAAGCCUGAUGCAGCAACGCCGCGUGAGGGACGACGGCCUUCGGGUUGUAAACCUCUUUUAGCAGGGAAGAAGCGAAAGUGACGGUACCUGCAGAAAAAGCGCCGGCUAACUACGUGCCAGCAGCCGCGGUAAUACGUAGGGCGCAAGCGUUAUCCGGAAUUAUUGGGCGUAAAGAGCUCGUAGGCGGUUUGUCGCGUCUGCUGUGAAAUCCGGAGGCUCAACCUCCGGCCUGCAGUGGGUACGGGCAGACUAGAGUGCGGUAGGGGAGAUUGGAAUUCCUGGUGUAGCGGUGGAAUGCGCAGAUAUCAGGAGGAACACCGAUGGCGAAGGCAGAUCUCUGGGCCGUAACUGACGCUGAGGAGCGAAAGGGUGGGGAGCAAACAGGCUUAGAUACCCUGGUAGUCCACCCCGUAAACGUUGGGAACUAGUUGUGGGGUCCAUUCCACGGAUUCCGUGACGCAGCUAACGCAUUAAGUUCCCCGCCUGGGGAGUACGGCCGCAAGGCUAAAACUCAAAGGAAUUGACGGGGACCCGCACAAGCGGCGGAGCAUGCGGAUUAAUUCGAUGCAACGCGAAGAACCUUACCAAGGCUUGACAUAUACGAGAACGGGCCAGAAAUGGUCAACUCUUUGGACACUCGUAAACAGGUGGUGCAUGGUUGUCGUCAGCUCGUGUCGUGAGAUGUUGGGUUAAGUCCCGCAACGAGCGCAACCCUCGUUCUAUGUUGCCAGCACGUAAUGGUGGGAACUCAUGGGAUACUGCCCGGGUCAACUCGGAGGAUGGUGGGGAUGACGUCAAAUCAUCAUGCCCCCUUUAUGUCUUUGGGGCUUCACGCAUU
rnacentral:rRNA from 1 species